UACGGGGGGAGCAAGCGUUGUUCGGAUUUACUGGGCGUAAAGGGCGCGUAGGCGGCCAGCACAAGUCAGUUGUGAAAUCUCCGGGCUUAACUCGGAAAGGUCAACUGAUACUGUGCGGCUAGAGUGCAGAAGGGGGCAACUGGAAUUCUCGGUGUAGCGGUGAAAUGCGUAGAUAUCGAGAGGAACACCUGCGGCGAAAGGCGGAUCGCUGGGGCCCAAACACUGACGCUGAGACGCGAAAAGCUAGGGGGAGCAAAACGGGG
rnacentral:rRNA from 1 species